AUUGAACGCUGGCGGCAGGCUUAACACAUGCAAGUCGAGCGGAGCGAGGGUGCUUGCACCUUAGCUUAGCGGCGGACGGGUGAGUAAUGCUUAGGAAUCUGCCUAUUAGUGGGGGACAACAUUCCGAAAGGAAUGCUAAUACCGCAUACGCCCUACGGGGGAAAGCAGGGGAUCUUCGGACCUUGCGCUAAUAGAUGAGCCUAAGUCGGAUUAGCUAGUUGGUGGGGUAAAGGCCUACCAAGGCGACGAUCCGUAGCGGGUCUGAGAGGAUGAUCCGCCACACUGGGACUGAGACACGGCCCAGACUCCUACGGGAGGCAGCAGUGGGGAAUAUUGGACAAUGGGCGGAAGCCUGAUCCAGCCAUGCCGCGUGUGUGAAGAAGGCCUUUUGGUUGUAAAGCACUUUAAGCGAGGAGGAGGCUACUUAGAUUAAUACUCUGGGAUAGUGGACGUUACCCGCAGAAUAAGCACCGGCUAACUCUGUGCCAGCCGCCGCAGUAA
rnacentral:rRNA from 1 species